UCAGGCCUAAACACAUGCAAGUCGAACGGGGAAAGCUUUCGGGUGAGUACUAGUGGCGCACGGGUGAGUAACGCGUGGAUAAUCUGCCUUUGAGUGGGGGAUAACUAGUCGAAAGAUUAGCUAAUACCGCAUAAGACCACAGCAACUGAGGUUGUAGGGGUUAAAGGUUUUUCGCUCAUAGAUGAGUCCGCGUGAGAUUAGCUAGUUGGUGAGGUAAUGGCUCACCAAGGCGACGAUCUCUAACUGGUCUGAGAGGAUGAUCAGUCACACUGGAACUGAGACACGGUCCAGACUCCUACGGGAGGCAGCAGUAGGGAAUAUUGCACAAUGGAGGAAACUCUGAUGCAGCGACGCCGCGUGAGUGAUGAAGGCCUUCGGGUCGUAAAGCUCUGUCGCAGGGGAAUAACACAAUGAAUGUACCCUGCAAGAAAGGAUCGGCUAACUUCGUGCCAGCAGCCGCGGUAAGACGAGGGAUCCUAGCGUUGUUCGGAAUCAUUGGGCGUAAAGCGGGUGUAGGUGGCUUUGUAAGUCAGAUGUGAAAGCCUGGGGCUCAACCCCAGAAGUGCAUUUGAUACUGCGAAGCUUGAGUGUCGGAGAGGUUACUAGAAUUCUUGGUGUAGUGGUGAAAUACGUAGAUAUCAAGAGGAAUACCGGAGGCGAAGGCGGGUAACUGGCCGAACACUGACACUGAGACCCGAAAGCGUGGGGAUCAAACAGGAUUAGAUACCCUGGUAGUCCACGCCGUAAACGAUGGAUACUUGUUGUUGGAGGUAUUGACCCCUUUCAGUGACGA
rnacentral:rRNA from 1 species